rnacentral:rRNA from 1 species
AUUUUUUUUUUUUUUUUUUUUAGAUUUUGUUUCUUGCUCAGAUUGAACGCUGGCGGCAUGCCUUACACAUGCAAGUCGAACGGCAGCAUGAUCUAGCUUGCUAGAUUGAUGGCGAGUGGCGAACGGGUGAGUAAUACAUCGGAACGUGCCCUGUAGUGGGGGAUAACUAGUCGAAAGAUUAGCUAAUACCGCAUACGACCUGAGGGUGAAAGUGGGGGACCGCAAGUCCUCAUGCUAUAGGAGCGGCCGAUGUCUGAUUAGCUAGUUGGUGGGGUAAAGGCCCACCAAGGCGACGAUCAGUAGCUGGUCUGAGAGGACGAUCACCCACACUGGGACUGAGACACGGCCCAGACUCCUACGGGAGGCAGCAGUGGGGAAUUUUGGACAAUGGGGGCAACCCUGAUCCAGCAAUGCCGCGUGUGUGAAGAAGGCCUUCGGGUUGUAAAGCACUUUUGUCCGGAAAGAAAUCGCACUUAUUAAUAUUAGGUGUGGAUGACGGUACCGGAAGAAUAAGGCCCGGCUAACUACGUGCCAGCAGCCGCGGUAAUACGUAGGGUCCAAGCGUUAAUCGGAAUUACUGGGCGUAAAGCGUGCGCAGGCGGUUGUGCAAGACCGAUGUGAAAUCCCCGGGCUUACCCUGGGAAUUGCAUUGGUGACUGCACGGCUAGAGUGUGUCAGAGGGGGGUAGAAUUCCGCGUGUAGCAGUGAAAUGCGUAGAGAUGUGGAGGAAUACCGAUGGCGAAGGCAGCCCCCUGGGAUAACACUGACGCUCAUGCACGAAAGCGUGGGGAGCAAACAGGAUUAGAUCCCCUGGUAGUCCACGCCCUAAACGAUGUCAACUAGUUGUUGGGGAUUCAUUUCCUUAGUAACGUAGCUAACGCGUGAAGUUGACCGCAUGGGAGUCU